CCUUUCCUAACUGUUAAAUAUAAGUUGGUAUUUAAUCUACUGUAUAACACAACAGCUGGACAAACUUUUCGCAUUCAGUUUUGUUAUAGCUACUCGCCUAAGUAAAAAUUUAUUGUCUAUAUUGAAUAGUUACUUACUCUUGUUCAGUGUGAUAAGAACAUUCAUAAAUUCACAACUCAAUCUAAUUCUUGGGACUAGCAUAGAGUAAACUGAUUAACUGGUUAGGUAUUCUAUUUCUUCUAAAAAAGGAAGAUUAUUUUAGAUCAAGUCUUCAAUUUUCCUGCUGUUAAUUAAAGGAUCACUCAUCAAGGUCUAAUAUAAGGAUUGUAUUUCUCUAGUACAGCCGUCACUGAGCUAUUAUAAAUGUUAUUACUCAGUGAAUCAAAGUCAGCCCUUUUCUGCUUUGUAUCAGCAAAUGUUUGAUAAGUUAAGUUCUCAAAAGCAAACUAAUUCACCGAGGAGACCACAAUGGAACAACGGAGGCGAACACCGUAUCUUGUCUUGAUACAGGAUUAGAAAUGAUGUCAUGUUGAUUACGUCCAGUCUUGAUUCAAUAGUGUUUUCCUUCAGCUUAUUUCAAAAGAAUUUGAACGACUACCAGGCUUUCUACUUCGUAUUAAGAAAGGUUUGCUCAGAAAUGGUCCACUUUCAGUUCCAUCAAUAAAUUUCAGAAAAACAAUUAAGUGAAACAGAUUUCUUCUCUCAGCGUCGACUGUGGCUAAUUUAUAUACUGGUGUCCCAUUAGGAGUAUCGUACACUGAAUCCAGAUCAGCUGAAAAUAAUUGCUAGAAAUGUAUAAAAAAAUGAAAUUAG